GAUGAACGCUAGCUACAGGCUUAACACAUGCAAGUCGAGGGGCAGCACAGUGUAGCAAUACAUGGGUGGCGACCGGCGCACGGGUGCGUAACGCGUAUCCAACCUUCCCGAUACUCAGGGAUAGCCUUCCGAAAGGGAGAUUAAUACCUGAUGGUGUUUCAAUUCCGCAUGUUAAUGAAACUAAAGAUUUAUCGGUAUCGGAUGGGGAUGCGUGACAUUAGAUAGUAGGCGGGGUAACGGCCCACCUAGUCUACGAUGUCUAGGGGUUCUGAGAGGAAGGUCCCCCACACUGGAACUGAGACACGGUCCAGACUCCUACGGGAGGCAGCAGUGAGGAAUAUUGGUCCAAUGGUCGAGAGACUGAACCAGCCAAGUCGCGUGAGGGAAGACUGCCCU
rnacentral:rRNA from 1 species